rnacentral:hammerhead_ribozyme from 21 species
UAGCAGUAGGGGCAGCAGCUGUAAGCCCCCUGAUGAGAACUGUCACGAGUUCGAAACCGCUG